rnacentral:sRNA from 1 species
GCCAGGUGCAGUGGUGCAUGCCUGUAAUCCCAGCACCUCGGGAGGCUGAGGCAGGAGGAUUGAAAGUUCAAAGCCAGCCUCAGCAACUCAGCGAGACCCUGUCUCAA